CGCGUCGGUCCGCCGACGCGUCGUCGCGACGCCCUUAGCGCGGCCACCGUCGCCGUCCACCGUCGUCGCGUCGUCCGGAUAAUUCGCGAUACGACGCGCGGCCGAUCCGCGAGAAAACGCCUUAUAUGCACACGCGUAUGCAACGUUUCGCGGCGCGGCGCGGAGCCCUCCGUGCCCCGUACUACGUGUGAUGUGUCGUCGCGACGCGUGGCCGUGCAUGCGUGUGCGCGGUCGGCGACGCGAGGAAACUGGGUCGCGUGCUCGUUUUCUCUCCUUUUCUUUCUCUCUCUUUCUCUCUCUCUCUCUCUCUCUCUCUCGUUCUCUCGCUCUCCCUCUUUCUCUUCGCGAUCGUAAUUCAUGAAGCGUCGUCGACGCCGGCGACCGACGACGGUGGCCGCGCGAGAAACCGGUCGAUUUCGGAGCCCGCCGCCGCGGGCUUCCUCGUCGCCUACGCGCGACGCUACUGCGCAAUUCAGCGUACGCACGUCGCCGCCGAAAGAGCGGUCGUCGUCCGCGAUUUUCGUGCUCGAGUCGCUCCCUCGAGCGAUCCGCGAGAAAUUUCAUGCGCUAUUCCACGCCGAGUAAUCGGAAACUAUUUUUGAGAUAAAUUGCUUUUCGCAUGUUGAUCUACUUGUCUGCCACCUCGGUUAGUUAAAUAGAAAGAGAAAUAAUUGAGAUUUGCAGACGAAGGCGUCGAGGUAACGGCACCUUUUAACGAAUCCGCAAUAUUUUCUUCACGUUCCUUGGAAACAUGGUUCGCAAUCUCGCGAAUACGAGCGAGGGAAUUACGAUUGUACGUGAUCGUCGUUGUCCUUCGUUGCACUUCUUCGAGGUAUUGAUGAUGCGCACGCUACCUGAAACGCUUCGAUGACCGAGUGAAUAGUGCGACUUAUAUCUUCUCCUCUCGACGGUAUCUCGACUAUAUUUGAGAUCCAAAUGUAUGACUAUUUGCUCUAUUAAUUUCCAUAAGAUAUAUAUCGCGUUGUCUCACAAUUAAUUAUCU